CCUACGGGUGGCUGCAGUGGGGAAUAUUGGACAAUGGGCGAAAGCCUGAUCCAGCCAUGCCGCGUGUGUGAAGAAGGCCUUCGGGUUGUAAAGCACUUUCAGUGGGGAAGAAAGCCUUGGGGCUAAUACCCUCGAGGAAGGACAUCACCCACAGAAGAAGCACCGGCUAACUCCGUGCCAGCAGCCGCGGUAAUACGGAGGGUGCGAGCGUUAAUCGGAAUUACUGGGCGUAAAGCGCGCGUAGGCGGUCUGAUAAGCCGGUUGUGAAAGCCCCGGGCUCAACCUGGGAACGGCAUCCGGAACUGUCAGGCUAGAGUGCAGGAGAGGAAGGUAGAAUUCCCGGUGUAGCGGUGAAAUGCGUAGAGAUCGGGAGGAAUACCAGUGGCGAAGGCGGCCUCCUGGACUGACACUGACGCUGAGGUGCGAAAGCGUGGGUAGCAAACAGGAUUAGAUACCCCAGUAGUC
rnacentral:rRNA from 1 species